rnacentral:rRNA from 1 species
ACGGGAGGCAGCAGUGGGGAAUAUUGGGCAAUGGGCGAAAGCCUGACCCAGCAACGCCGCGUGAAGGAAGAAGGUCUUCGGAUUGUAAACUUCUUUUAUGAGGGACGAAGGACGUGACGGUACCUCAUGAAUAAGCCACGGCUAACUACGUGCCAGCAGCCGCGGUAAUACGUAGGUGGCAAGCGUUAUCCGGAUUUACUGGGUGUAAAGGGCGCGUAGGCGGGGAUGCAAGUCAGAUGUGAAAUCUAUGGGCUUAACUCAUAAACUGCAUUUGAAACUGCGGAUCUUGAGUAUCGGAGAGGCAAGCGGAAUUCCUAGUGUAGCGGUGAAAUGCGUAGAUAUUAGGAGGAACACCAGUGGCGAAGGCGGCUUGCUGGACGACAACUGACGCUGAGGCGCGAAAGCGUGGGGAGCAAACAGGAUUAGAUACCCUGGUA